rnacentral:rRNA from 1 species
AACGUAGGUACCGAGCGUUAUCCGGAUUCACUGGGCGUAAAGCGCGUGCAGGUGGUUUGGUAAGUCGGGCAUGAAAACUCUUGGCUCAACUAAGAGGCGCUGUCCGAUACUGCUGAACUUGAGGGUGUGAGAGGGAGGUGGAAUUCCGCAUGUAGUGGUGAAAUGCGCAGAUAUCAGGAAGAACACCCGUGGCGAAGGCGGCUCUCUGGGACGGUACUGACGCUGAGACGCGAAAGCGUGGGGAGCGAACAGG